GGCGCGAUGGCCGAGUGGUUAAGGCGACAGAUUAGAACAUUUCCUCCGAGCGCAAGCAGGGUUUGAACCUAUCUGUUCCGGUUUCCGGGCGCAGGUUCAAAUCCUGCUCGCGUCG